GUACACGCUGUGACUAGCAUAUCAAUAAGCGGAGGAAAAGAAACUAACAAGGAUUCCCCUUAGUAACGGCGAGUGAAGCGGGAAGAGCUCAAAUUUGAAAUCUUAAAGGGUUUCCCUUUACGAAUUGCUAGUUUAAAGAAGUGUUUUCUGUUGAGGUUUUGGUAAAAGUUCUUUGGAAUAGGACAUCAUAGAGGGUGAGAAUCCCGUAUUUGACCUUUACUUUCAACUUUGUGAUACACUUUCAAAGAGUCGGAUUGUUUGGGAAUGCAGUCCAAAAUGGGUGGUAAAUUUCAUCUAAAGCUAAAUAUUGGCGAGAGACCGAUAGCGAACAAGUACCGUGAGGGAAAGAUGAAAAGAACUUUGAAAAGAGAGUUAAACAGUACGUGAAAUUGUCAAAAGGGAAGCGUUUGACACCAGUGUUGUUUUUCUGAAAAUCAAUUAAAGAACUGUUUAUGCUAAGUUGUUUAGACUUUAUCAGCUAACUGUUUAGUUUUGAGCUUUUCUUUAAUGCACUUUUCAGUUAACAAGUCAACAUCAAUUUCUUUUGCUGUAAAAAAGCUUGAGGAAGGUGGCUUGAGAUUCGUCUUAAGUGUUUAUAGCCUCUUGCCUAUGCAGUCGGAGAGAUUGAGGUCUGCAGCGUAGAUCCUUCGGGGCUAAAUGCAUUUGUGCUAAGUUAUAGCAUUUUAUAGACAACUUGUUGACUAUGAUUUGUCUUGUAGCUUACUCGCUUAUGUUAUUUUACCUACGCUUAGGAUGUUGACGCGCGUGUGUGCGUG
rnacentral:rRNA from 1 species